rnacentral:rRNA from 1 species
GUGUCAGCCGCCGCGGUAAUACGUAGGGUGCGAGCGUUAAUCGGAAUUACUGGGCGUAAAGCGUGCGUAGGCGGUUCUCCAAGUCCGUUGUGAAAGCCCCGGGCUCAACCUGGGAAUGGCAUUUGGGACUGCAAGGCUUGAGUGCGGCAGAGGAGACUGGAAUUCCUGGUGUAGCAGUGAAAUGCGUAGAUAUCAGGAGGAAUACCGAUGGCGAAGGCAGGUCUCUGGGCUGACACUGACGCUCAUGCACGAAAGCGUGGGGAGCAAACAGGAUUAGAAACCCGCGUAGUCC